GACGAACGCUGGCGGCGUGCUUAACACAUGCAAGUCGAACGGAAAGGCCCUGCUUUUGUGGGGUGCUCGAGUGGCGAACGGGUGAGUAACACGUGAGUAACCUGCCCUUGACUUUGGGAUAACUUCAGGAAACUGGGGCUAAUACCGGAUAGGAGCUCCUGCUGCAUGGUGGGGGUUGGAAAGUUUCGGCGGUUGGGGAUGGACUCGCGGCUUAUCAGCUUGUUGGUGGGGUAGUGGCUUACCAAGGCUUUGACGGGUAGCCGGCCUGAGAGGGUGACCGGCCACAUUGGGCCUGAGAUAGGGCCCAGAGUCCUACGGGAGACAGCAGUGGGGAAUAUUGCACAAUGGGCGGAAGCCUGAGGCAGAAACGCCGGGUGCGGAAUGACGGCCUUCGGGUUGAAAACCGCUUUCGCCUGUGACGAAGCGGGAGUGACGGUAACGGGUAAAGAAGCACCGGCUAACUACGUG
rnacentral:rRNA from 1 species